rnacentral:lncRNA from 10 species
CCGCUUCCCAGAUCUGUCCUGGGGUCAGGAAAAGGCCGCAGAAUCAUAAAGAAAUGAAGCUGAUUUCACUUCCUGGAUCACCAGUUUUGUUCCCUCAGCACGACUCCCUGAGAGUCUUCUCUCCAGCCUAACCAUGCACUUUUCCAAGCGUCGAGAUGCUUAGAAACUUCCAAAAAUACUUGACCACAGUGCCAGAAAGACAUUUCUAAUAAAACUUGCCAGCAAAGGGCUGGGAAGACCCCAAGUGUCUCUUGUCAGGGAAGCUUUAUAGACUUAGCUCCUGGGAGCCAGCUGGGCCCUGGCUUGCUAGACCACCCUGCAAGGGCUUGGCCUCUCUCCCCAGCCCCUGCCAGGCCUGCUGGAAGUAGUGGCUGGAAAGAAAUGGGGGCUUUGGGGUCAGGGAGCCUGUGUUCCAACUCCGGCUCCCCUUGCACUGGCUGUGUGGCUUUAGGCAUGUGACUGAACCCCAAGAGCCACAGUUCAUUCAGCAAUAAAAUGAGAGCUUCUGUCA